AUUGAACGCUGGCGGCAGGCCUAACACAUGCAAGUCGAGCGAGCGGCGGACGGGUGAGUAAUGUCUGGGAAACUGCCCGAUGGAGGGGGAUAACUACUGGAAACGGUAGCUAAUACCGCAUACUAUCGGAUGUGCCCAGAUGGGAUUAGCUAGUAGGUGAGGUAACGGCUCACCUAGGCGACGAUCCCUAGCUGGUCUGAGAGGAUGACCAGCCACACUGGAACUGAGACACGGUCCAGACUCCUACGGGAGGCAGCAGUGGGGAAUAUUGCACAAUGGGCGCAAGCCUGAUGCAGCCAUGCCGCGUGUGUGAAGAAGGCCGUCGGGUUGUAAAGCACUUUCAGCGGGGAGGCGUUACCCACAGAAGAAGCACCGGCUAACUCCGUGCCAGCAGCCGCGGUAAUUC
rnacentral:rRNA from 1 species